rnacentral:misc_RNA from 1 species
GUGAAUGAAUCCUGAAGGAUGUUGCUGGCCCCUUGGGGCAGGUGCACUCCUCAGAUAUUCUCUUGUCCUCACCUUUUACAAAUCCUGUGCACCCUCUGUAGGUUUGGCACGUUCCGACCUAUGUUUUUUUGUCAUUUGCACCGUGGAAUGUCAUUCGAAUGUCGUGAUUCUUUUUGAAUAAAUUACA